rnacentral:sRNA from 1 species
GCAACUAUUAUCGACAUCAUAUAUCUGCCUCAAAUAUUCUUUUAAUUAUUUCAAAUAUUUUCUUUUUGGAUUCCCUAUCUCUGUAGCUUCAUUUCCUGCUCUUACAGAAACCUUAAUGACGUAUACUUAUUGAGAUAUUGUAUUACGAGGAUGUGAUAUUGAGAUGCUGUUUUGAGGAGAUUUUGUGCUCUACCUACCUCCACAUUAUAUAUGUACUAGCAUCUAUGAAUAUCUAGCGGUAUUGAUUGAUGAUAUGAAAAUCUGUGAUAUACAGAUUCCUCUUGCUGUCUUCCUGCAUCCAUACGAUGUAAAGAUCUAGUGAUAACUAUAUAUUUUUUGCUUAUAUGAACAUUGUUGUACCAAAAAGGUGAUAUUAUUCAACGGGAUACCUCAUUUCUAUAAUAGACAUUUGGCUAUAGGAAUCAGUUCUAUCAAG